GUGUUGUUUGUUAAGGGCACACGGUGGAUGCCUUGGCAUUAUGAGCCGAUGAAGGACGUGUAAGGCCGCGAUAGGCCUCGGGGAGUUGCCAAUA
rnacentral:rRNA from 1 species